GAGGGACGUAUCGGAUUACUGGGCGUAAGCGUGCGCAGGCGGUUUUGUAAGUCUGUCGUGAAAGCCCCGGGCUCAACCUGGGAAUUGCGAUGGAGACUGCAAGGCUUGAAUCUGGCAGAGGGGGGUAGAAUUCCACGUGUAGCAGUGAAAUGCGUAGAGAUGUGGAGGAACACCGAUGGCGAAGGCAGCCCCCUGGGUCAAGAUUGACGCUCAUGCACGAAAGCGUGGGGAGCAAACAGGAUUAGAUACCCUGGUAGUCCACGCCCUAAACGAUGUCUACUAGUUGUCGGGUUUUAAUUAACUUGGUAACGCAGCUAACGCGUGAAGUAGACCGCCUGGGGAGUACGGUCGCAAGAUUAAAACUCAAAGGAAUUGACGGGGACCCGCACAAGCGGUGGAUGAUGUGGAUUAAUUCGAUGCAACGCGAAAAACCUUACCUACCCUUGACAUGUCAGGAACCUCCGAGAGAUCGGGGGGUGCCCGAAAGGGAGCCUGAACACAGGUGCUGCAUGGCUGUCGUCAGCUCGUGUCGUGAGAUGUUGGGUUAAGUCCCGCAACGAGCGCAACCCUUGUCAUUAGUUGCUACAUUCAGUUGAGCACUCUAAUGAGACUGCCGGUGACAAACCGGAGGAAGGUGGGGAUGACGUCAAGUCCUCAUGGCCCUUAUGGGUAGGGCUUCACACGUCAUACAAUGGUACAUACAGAGGGCCGCCAACCCGCGAGGGGGAGCUAAUCCCAGAAAGUGUAUCGUAGUCCGGAUCGCAGUCUGCAACUCGACUGCGUGAAGUUGGAAUCGCUAGUAAUCGCGGAUCAGCAUGUCGCGGUGAAUACGUUCCCGGGUCUUGUACACACCGCCCGUCACACCAUGGGAGCGGGUUUUACCAGAAGUAGGUAGCUUAACCGCAAGGAGGGCGCUUACCACGGUAGGAUUCGUGACUGGGGUG
rnacentral:rRNA from 1 species